rnacentral:rRNA from 1 species
AGUGAACGCUGGCGGCGUGCUUAGCACAUGCAAGUCGAACGGAAAGGCCCAGCUUGCUGGGUACUCGAGUGGCGAACGGGUGAGUAACACGUGGGUGAUCUGCCCUGCACUCUGGGAUAAGCCUGGGAAACUGGGUCUAAUACCGGAUAUGACCAACUGUCGCAUGGUGGUUGGUGGAAAGCUUUUGCGGUGUGGGAUGGGCCCGCGGCCUAGCAGCUUGUUGGUGGGGUAAUGGCCUACCAAGGCGACGACGGGUAGCCGACCUGAGAGGGUGAUCGGCCACACUGGGACUGAGACACGGCCCAGACUCCGACGGGAGGCAGCAGAGGGGAAUAUUGCACAAUGGGCGCAAGCCUGAUGCAGCGACGCCGCGUGAGGGAUGACGGCCUUCGGGUUGUAAACCUCUUUCACCAGGGACGAAGCGGAAGUGACGGUACCUGGAGAAGAAGCACCGGCCAACUACGUGCCAGCAGCCGCCGCGG